AACGAACGCUGGCGGCAUGCCUAACACAUGCAAGUCGAACGAGACCUUCGGGUCUAGUGGCGCACGGGUGCGUAACGCGUGGGAACCUGCCCUUAGGUUCGGAAUAACUCCCCGAAAGGGGUGCUAAUACCGGAUAAUGUCUUCGGACCAAAGAUUUAUCGCCGUUGGAUGGGCCCGCGUUGGAUUAGCUAGUUGGUAGGGUAAAAGCCUACCAAGGCGACGAUCCAUAGCUGGUCUGAGAGGAUGAUCAGCCACACUGGGACUGAGACACGGCCCAGAAUCCUACGGGAGGCAGCAGUGGGGAAUAUUGGACAAUGGGCGAAAGCCUGAUCCAGCAAUGCCGCGUGAGUGAUGAAGGCCUUAGGGUUGUAAAGCUCUUUUACCCGGGAUGAUAAUGACAGUACCGGGAGAAUAAGCGCCGGCUAACUCCGUG
rnacentral:rRNA from 1 species